CACUUGGUAGCACAUGGUGUGCACCUGUUUGACUUGUAAAAGAUCGCACGUACGAGUUUAUGCAGGAGGCCCCGGUUCGAUUCCGGGUCAGGUGA